UACGUAGGGUCCGAGCGUUAUCCGGAGUUACUGGGCGGAAAGGGCGUGUAGGUGGUUCUGUAAGUCUGGCGUGAAAUUUUUCGGCUUAACCGGGAAAGGUCGUCGGAUACUGCAGGGCUAGAGGACGGUAGAGGCGUGUGGAAUUCCGGGUGUAGUGGUGAAAUGCGUAGAGAUCCGGAGGAACACCAGUGGCGAAGGCGACACGCUGGGCCGUACCUGACACUGAUGCGCGACAGCAUGGGGAGCAAACAGG
rnacentral:rRNA from 1 species